GAGGGCAGAAAGGAAUCCUUCCUGUAAACAUCCUCUGGGCCACUCCCGGAAAAGCACCUUGACCUUGAUUCUCUUCCUGGAGAACGUCUGCAGAUCUUCUACAUGGUUCACAGAGGACUAGCAUUUGAGCAGGGGCUGGAGAAUCUCAAACUCGUGAAGUGUCCAAGGUCUGACUGGAAUAGAACUUUUGGACUCUGACCUUUAUCCUCUACCUCCACUCAGUAACCUACGAAUUCUCCUCUCAGGUAUAAUCCAUUCCCUAAUUGGCUCAUUCAUUCAUGUAACACAUACUUGCUGAGUGCUUAUAUGUCAGGUAUUGUGCUAUAGUGAUGAGAAAAUAGAUAUGGUUCCCUGUCUUUAAGGAGUGUGUAAUCUAGUGGAGAAAACAGACAUGGCAUGGAUUGUCACAC
rnacentral:lncRNA from 1 species